rnacentral:rRNA from 1 species
GGGUGCGAUCAUACCAGCACUAAUGCACCGGAUCCCAUCAGAACUCCGAAGUCCUAAGCUAGUGCUUGGGCGAGAGUAGUACUAGGACUUGGGUGGCGCACCUGGGAAGUCCUCGUCCUCGUACCCC